GAUGAAGAACGUAGUGAAAUGCGAUAAGUAAUGUGAAUUGCAGAAUUCAGUGAAUCAUCGAAUCUUUGAACGCACAUUGCGCCCGCCAGCAUUCUGGCGGGCAUGCCUGUUCGAGCGUCAUUUCAACCCUCGACUUCCCUUUGGGGAAAUCGGCGUUGGGGACUGGCAGCAUACCGCCGGCCCCGAAAUGGAGUGGCGGCCCGUCCGCGGCGACCUCUGCGUAGUAAUCCAACCUCGCACCGGAACCCCGACGUGGCCACGCCGUAAAACACCCCACUUUCUGAACGUUGACCUCGGAUCAGGUAGGAAUACCCGCUGAACUUAAGCAUAUCAAAAGCGGAGGA
rnacentral:misc_RNA from 1 species